GUAGCUCAGUCGGUAGAGCAGCUCAUUCGUAAUGAGAAGGUCGGGGGUUCGAUUCCUCUC
rnacentral:tRNA from 1 species